CCUACGGGAGGCAGCAGUGGGGAAUAUUGGACAAUGGGGGGAACCCUGAUCCAGCGACGCCGCGUGAGUGAAGAAGUAUUUCAGUAUGUAAAGCUCUAUCAGCAGGGAAGAAAGAAAUGACGGUACCUGACUAAGAAGCCCCGGCUAACUACGUGCCAGCAGCCGCGGUAAUACGUAGGGGGCAAGCGUUAUCCGGAUUUACUGGGUGUAAAGGGAGCGUAGGCGGCGAUGUAAGUCUGGAGUUAAAUGGGGGGGCCCAACCCCCGGACUGCCUUGGAAACUGGAUGGCUGGAGUGGAGGAGAGGUAUGCGGAAUGCCUGGUGUAGCGGUGAAAUGCAUAGAUAUUAGGAAGAACACCAGUGGCGAAGGCGGCUUACUGGAGUGUGACUGACGUUGAGGCACGAAAGCGUGGGGAGCAAACAGGAUUAGAUACCCGAGUAGUC
rnacentral:rRNA from 1 species